rfam:Colletotrichum gloeosporioides Cg-14 contig01642, whole genome shotgun sequence.
UCCUCGAUAGUCUAGUGGUGAGGAUAUCGGCUUGUCAUUCAAUGAUCGCCGGGGACCGGGGUUCAAUUCCCCGUCGAGGAG